rnacentral:rRNA from 1 species
UACGUAGGUGGCAAGCGUUGUCCGGAUUUAUUGGGUUUAAAGGGUGCGUAGGCGGCUUUGUAAGUCAGUGGUGAAAUCUGGCAGCUCAACUGUCAAGGUGCCAUUGAUACUGCAGAGCUUGAGUACAGAUGAGGUAGGCGGAAUUGACGGUGUAGCGGUGAAAUGCUUAGAUAUCGUCAAGAACACCUAUAGCGAAGGCAGCUUACUAGGCUGUAACUGACGCUGAGGCACGAAAGUGUGGGGAUCAAACAGG